GUUUACAUAUUAUAUAAGCAAAACAUCUAGAACUUGGUAAAACUAGAUCCUUUUAUUUCGGAAUUUAAAAUGGUACAUAGCUUAAAUUAGAUAUGUCUUAGAAGAUACAUCUAAAUGUUUUUAUAAAUAUAACUACACUUUGUUCUUCUUCUUUUUUAAACAUCUAACUGCACUUUGUUCUUUCUUUUCAAUUUUUCGAAAGACUAUAAAAUCAUUUCUAUCAUUUAGGAUGAAGAAAAGUUUUCAACUCUCGUUCACCAUUCUGGUUAUUUUUACUAUUCUUGUUUUAGGAGUGGUGGGAGAUGUGAAUCAAAGAAAAAGAAAAUGUUGGGAAGAAAUUAAGGGUAAAGACCUUUGUAAUUUAUUUCGCAAUGAGUGUUUGUCUAUGUGUAUAAAGAAGCAUCCAAAAGGAGGCUCUACUUGCGUGCCUACUCCCCAAGGAGGAAAGAAGUGUUUAUGCGGUUAUCCUUGUUAAUUUGUGUUAUUUACAAUAAAUCUUCAAUUAUAUUUAUAAAAAAAAACCUUACAAGAAAACAAUUUAGUAUCUGACAUGGGUUUCACGCCUACAUAAUUGUGUAAUUAUCGUUAUCGAGUUAUAAUAAAAUAAUUUUUUGUAGAAUUUA